rnacentral:rRNA from 1 species
AGGGUUCGAUUAUGGCUCAGGAUGAACGCUAGCGGCAGGCCUAACACAUGCAAGUCGAGGGGCAGCGGGAUUGAAGCUUGCUUCAAUUGCCGGCGACCGGCGCACGGGUGCGUAACGCGUAUGCAACCUACCCAGAACAGGGGGAUAACACUGAGAAAUUGGUACUAAUACCCCAUAAUAUAUUGGAAGGCAUCUUCCGAUGUUGAAAACUCCGGUGGUUUUGGAUGGGCAUGCGUUGUAUUAGCUAGUUGGUGAGGUAACGGCUCACCAAGGCGACGAUACAUAGGGGGACUGAGAGGUUAACCCCCCACAUUGGUACUGAGACACGGACCAA